rnacentral:rRNA from 3 species
UGGGGAAUAUUGCACAAUGGGCGAAAGCCUGAUGCAGCAACGCCGCGUGAGCGAUGAAGGCUUUCGAGUCGUAAAGCUCUGUCCUAAGGGAAGAUAAUGACGGUACCUUAGGAGGAAGCCCCGGCUAACUACGUGCCAGCAGCCGCGGUAAUACGUAGGGGGCAAGCGUUAUCCGGAAUCAUUGGGCGUAAAGGGUGCGUAGGCGGCCCUAUAGGUCAGAGGUCAAAGGCUACGGCUCAACCGUAGUAAGCCUUUGAAACUGUAGGGCUUGAGUGCAGGAGAGGAGAGUGGAAUUCCUAGUGUAGCGGUGAAAUGCGUAGAUAUUAGGAGGAACACCAGUGGCGAAGGCGACUCUCUGGACUGCAACUGACGCUGAGGCACGAAAGCGUGGGGAGCGAACAGG